AGAGAGAGACAUGCGCGCAUAUCAAUAAGCGGAGGAAAAGAAACUAACAAGGAUUCCCUUAGUAACGGCGAGUGAAGCGGGAAGAGCUCAAAUUUGAAAUCUUCAAGGUUUUACCUUGACGAAUUGUAGUUUAAAGAAGUGUUUUCUGCUGAAGUUUUGGUAAAAGUUCUUUGGAAUAGGACAUCAUAGAGGGUGGAGAAUCCCGUAUUUGACCAUUAUUUUCAGCUUUGUGAUACACUUUCAAAGAGUCGGAUUGUUUGGGAAUGCAGUCCAAAAUGGGUGGUAAAUUUCAUCUAAAGCUAAAUACUGGCGAGAGACCGAUAGCGAACAAGUACCGUGAGGGAAAGAUGAAAAGAACUUUGAAAAGAGAGUUAAACAGUACGUGAAAUUGUCAAAAGGGAAGCGUUUGACACCAGUGUUGUUUUCUCGAAAAUCAAUUAAAAAUGGCUCGAUUUUGUAUUGCUGAGACCUUAAAAGCUCACUGUACAUUUUUCGUGUCUUUUUUAAUGCACUUUUCGUUUAACAAGUCAACAUCAGUUUCUUUUGUUGUAAAAGGGUCAUUGGAAGGUGGCUUUCUUUUCGGAGAAAGUGUUUAUAGCCUUUGGCCUCUGCAAUCGGAGAGACUGAGGUCUGCAGCGUAGACUCUUCGGGGUUAGAUACAUUUGUGCUAAGUUAUAGCUUUUUAUAGACAACUUGUUGACUAUAAUUAGUCUUGUAGCUUACUCGCUUAUGCUAUUUUACCUACGCUUAGGAUGUUGAAGAUGUAGCACAUCAU
rnacentral:rRNA from 1 species